rnacentral:pre_miRNA from 1 species
UUCCUACUUCCUCCGUUCCAAAUUACUCGUCGUAGAAAUGAAUGUAUCUGGAACUAAAAUACAUCUAGAUACAUCCAUACCUGCGACAAGUAAUUCGGAACGGAGGGAGUAGUAU